rnacentral:ncRNA from 3 species
AGCGUUGGAUUGUUCACCCACU